rnacentral:misc_RNA from 1 species
CGAAAUUUCGGAAAAAAUUUUUCUCGAGGUGGGACCCGCUCGGGCCGCCCCGGGGCNAAUUUUUCGGCAAAAUUUUUUUUUGCCAACCAAGCUUUGGUGUUGCUUGGGAACAUAUCGGAGGUCCCAAAUCAUUGAGAAAAAGUCCGAAACUUGGUUAAAACACCACCUGAACCUCGUUUNGGCACGCGGUGNAGAAUUUCGGCAAAAAAUUUCAUUGGCCCUCUGGCUUGGGAACAAUCUAGAUUUGUUGUUGCCUUAAUUGGUGUGAUUCAACUCGGCAUCUAGUUUUGAUUUUCAUGGUUGGGGAAAGCUUUUGAGAUGGCUUGCCGAAAUUUCAUCGCAACGUUGAACCAUGGUUGGACAUGCGGUGCGUUUUUUUCGACAAAAUGCUUUGUCGGCUCUCAAGUUUGGGGACGGCCUAGAUUUGUUGUUGCUUAAUCGGCGUGAAUCAACUCGGCAUCUAGGAUUGAUCUUCGGGCUUGGGAAAUGGCAAGCAAAAUGGCGUGGNGGAUCNUUCGNAAACUUAGUGAUGGUCNAUCGGUGGGUCUUAGUGCGAUGCCCAUUAACGUCGUAGGAAUUCUUGGCAAUGCGAGGUAGUGGUGCUCCGGCACUCUUCCACGUUAUUUCUUAGAAAAUCCAAGCACGUGNUGGGCAUCAAACGACGAUCAGGUUGGAUUUNAACAUAGAGACCACUGCUUGUGUUGACGAGAAUUUUUCCUUUUGCCAAUUGUUGGGAAAUUUGCGCUGUGUUUUCAUACGAUGGUAAUAAAACGAGUUGGAGUCUUGUGCUUUAUUCGUAGAGGACCACUCGGCAAAAUUUAAGCGGCGAUGCUUCGGUUCAAUGCUUGCGUUUUGUCGGAAAAUUCAAAGACACGUCGGGCAAGGGAUGAUGAUGACUCAAAUGACUUGACAAAACGGUGUUGGAUUAAAACUAAGUUGCGUCCCAUUAAGUUCUCGUGCACAGCGGUGCGGGUGAUGGCCUUUCUCGGUGUAUUCGCGUGUCAUUUGGCCGCGCCUCGCUUAGAAUUGUUGUUGCCUAGCGUACGUGGUGGCACAUGAGUGGUGAAUGGAUCGUUCCGUUUGGUUGGCUCCUUGCUCACGUGCAACGAACUAUCAAGCCUCGAUCCUCUUCAUUUGAAAGCCCCGAUGCCUUGUGCACUUCGGGGAACGGAUGGUUCCUGUGUUGAUUACCCACUAUGGAGGAAAUCAAUUGUUCGUUUGAUCUUUAUUCGCUCUUUCUUCUUUUUAAGAAAAAGGGUGGACCAAGUAGUUUUGCCUGUGUUCCAAGCAUGCUGAAAUCGGUUGCUAUGGCCCAUGGGCAAAUACUUGUGCUCUCGGGUGCAGAAAGUCAUGAGGGCGGACGAGACGCUCUUGUCCAUUUGCCCAAUUGUUCCUUGAAAUGAACGAUGUCCGUUCUCGUGUUGAUUUGGUCAUUACCUUUGGGAAUGAUGCGGUCAAUCGAGUUUCGG